AUGUCUCCCUAUAUGAUAUUUUUUUGGCAACUGGAUGUAGAUGCAACUUUUUUAGCAUGCUUUCCAUGUUUAUGACAAGUUCAUUCAUCAUAAAUUAGGUGGGCCAACACCGUCUGAAUAUGAAAAACUACAAGCAGAAAUGCAAGAUUUGCAGUUAAAGUAUGAUGAGCUUUCAGCAACUCACCUAGACACUUGCAGGGAGUACAACUUUGCGGGCCGCCUCCUUGGUCCUAGAGGGAACUCUCUCAAGUGAGUGGAGGCAAAUACUGAAUGCCAUGUCUUGAUCAUUCAAGCAUAGGAGUGAACCUAGACCCAUUACGUAAGUGGUCAAAGGAAAUGGUGAAAGGGUGGGAAGCUAAUCUUCUCAUUUGAUGCAACAAAGAAAGCUAGCUUUGGUGUACUCCCACGAUAUGCAAAAGAUGAGCUUCAAAUCAGAUGGUUUGACCUCCCAAAUUGCUUUAUCUUCCAUAAUGGUGAGUUUUUUUUUUUUCCCUUUAAUAGACCAACAACAAUGUCUCGGGAAACAUUUGAAGCUUACUAUGCCUGAUGUGUAUUUUGCAUCAUAAUCCUAUAUGUCAUAUCAAGCAGGGUUAAUUGGCUUGGGCAUUGAGGGGUCCCAGAUGUGUGUUUGUGUUUCUAGUCCUUUGUAGCAUGCUCCCAUUCUUCAACCUUGAUCAUUAGUGGGGAGACUUUUCUUUUUCAAUCAGUUACCUUUGGCCUCUUUUUGUAUCUUGCCAGAGCCGAGAUCUAUUUGUUGUUUGUCUAUGAUUUGAAUUUAACACUUUAACUGAUUUACUCUAUUGGCUGGCUUGCAUUACCUUGACACAUGUUUUUAUUGGAUAUGCUUAAGUAUUGAUGCACAUAGAUU